UUCUCUCAGAGCAGGAGUUCAUGGUUGAUUUCGAACUAGCUGGUUGGGGGGCAGCGAUGGAAGAUUUUCGUUCCCUCUUGGAGAUGCUUUGGUGGCCGUUUAUUUUCGUUUGGGGAGGCGAGCUGCGAAUCCAGCGGCCCUUUCGAUUGAUGAAAUUGUCUGUUCGUUGUGAUAUUUUUCACGGAUUCUACAAGCUUCGUCUCAGGCAUCUUCUAUCUCUCUUGGCUGCGAAUUCUUGCAUCCUUUGUCUUCGGGUGGUGUUUUGCUGUUUUAGAUAGAGCUGUUUGGUGGUUGUUUUUGGUUCUGUUAAGCAAGAGGUGGUCUUUUGUUGCUUUGGAUAGAGCAGUUUGGUUGGUGUUUUUGGUUAUGUUAAGCAGGAGGUGAGUUUCUAGGCUGAAAUUCCAAUUGAUUGUUUUAAGUUUUGUGAGUAGAGCACAGGAAUUAGCUAAUAGUGUCAAUUGACAAUUGUACAAGCUAUUUUGAACAAUGCACAGCUCAAAACUUCUCAUA